UCCUGGGAUAGCUCAGUCGGUAGAGCGUGAGACUCUUAAUCUCAGGUUUGUGGGUUUGAGCCCCAUGUUGGGAA